AGUGAACGCUGGCGGUAGGCCUAACACAUGCAAGUCGAACGGCAGCACAGUAAGAGCUUGCUCUUACGGGUGGCGAGUGGCGGACGGGUGAGGAAUACAUCGGAAUCUACUUUUUCGUGGGGGAUAACGUAGGGAAACUUACGCUAAUACCGCAUACGACCUACGGGUGAAAGCAGGGGAUCUUCGGACCUUGCGCGAUUGAAUGAGCCGAUGUCGGAUUAGCUAGUUGGCGGGGUAAAGGCCCACCAAGGCGACGAUACGUAGCUGGUCUGAGAGGAUGAUCAGCCACACUGGAACUGAGACACGGUCCAGACUCCUACGGGAGGCAGCAGUGGGGAAUAUUGGACAAUGGUCGCAAGCCUUAUCCAGCCAUACCGCGUGUGUGAAGAAGGCCUUCGGGUUGUAAAGCCCUUUUGUUGGGAAAGAAAAGCAGCAGGUUAAUACCCCGCUGUUCUGACGGUACCCAAAGAAUAAGCACCGGCUAACUUCGUG
rnacentral:rRNA from 1 species